rnacentral:rRNA from 1 species
UGCCAGCCGCCGCGGUAAUACGGAGGGGGCAAGCGUUGUUCGGAAUUACUGGGCGUAAAGGGCGCGUAGGCGGUCAGGCAAGUCGGACGUGAAAUCCCUCGGCUCAACCGAGGAACUGCCUCCGAAACUGCUUGACUUGAGUCCCGGAGAGGGUAGCGGAAUUCCCAGUGUAGCGGUGAAAUGCGUAGAUAUUGGGAGGAACACCGGUGGCGAAGGCGGCUACCUGGACGGGUACUGACGCUGAGGCGCGAAAGCGUGGGGAGCAAACAGGAUUAGAUA